rnacentral:tRNA from 2 species
UUCGGGCGUGACAUGGGUGACGCGGCCAUGGGAGCCGUCAGGUUUGACCUUGAGAUUGGGCAUGGGUUCUUCCUCCAUUGCUUGGGA